UGCUUCCUGGGCUGUGUGGCUGCAUUAUCGGAUCUCAGAAGCUUAUGAACUUUAAAAACGGAACUAAUUCAGGCAGGGGCACCACAGUGAACCCUUCCUGGCAGGACAGAACUCUGGUGUUGAAGACGAGGCACAACCACCCUCCACCAGCCUGGCUGAAGCUUCUGCAGAACCGUGCUGCCCUCCGGGUCCCUUCCCCGAUCCUUCUCCCUCCCCAGGAGCCUGAAGCUCUCCCCAGCUUCUUGUGCUCUCUCUCCAAUAAGUCCCUUGGAAAAAACUGAUCCCAUGUUUCAAUUUGUUAUGAAUCUGCGUUUCUUUAUGUCACAGAGCUUACUAUUAACACUUGCUUUGAAGGAAUAGUAUACUAAUUACAACAUGGAGGUCAAUCUCCACUGAUUGACUUUUCUUCUGGGAUUGGGUCCUUUUUUUCUGUUUCCUCGGUUGAAGGUUGUAAAGGUUUUGCCACUGUCCUGGACACUGACGGUCGUGUGUUCAGACUCUGGGUUCUGUUAUAUUCCUCCGAACAGUGCUCAGCUGUGUCGUUGCUGUUGUUGGUAGAGCAACACUCACUAGACUGGAAGCAAACUGCAGGCUUUGUCUUUGGACAGCAGGUCAAAUCUCAAUUCAGACCUUUCACUGGGCUCCUGGAGGUCUAUCUGGCAUGUGCAUGUUUCAGGGGUCAUCAGGUAUUAGGGCAGAAUUUAUACACAAAAUGUGUGGAUGCCCCUCUCUGUCUCUUUUUCCCCAGAUUUAUCCUCAAUGUUUUUGUGUCUAUGGUUGCCCCCAAUUUUACCCUUUGGUUCUUCAGAUGAGAAAGACUGCAAGUUACCUACUGGAGUUUUACUGCCUCACGUGGCCCACUGGAGCCUGGCCUUGGGCUAGAAGCUGUGAAGCUGGUAUAUUCACUCAGUGCCAGCUCCUCUCCUCCAAGUGCUAAUUCUGGCCCAGAAUCUGCCUGCUUUGGAGCAUGAUGUAAACUUGUCCUCCUUUCAUGCUACAUACAGGCCACGGAAAUGGGACACCCACCCCAGGAUGUUCUGGGACCAGCUUGCAUUGAUUUGCAAGAGUCAUUGUUAAACAUUCUGCAAUUUCCAAGUGGGCUGUUCAAUCAUUUGUAGCUUGAAACCAGAAAUUCAUUAAACAUGGUGGGACUAUUUAUACCAUGGUACUUGACAAACUACAAACCAGGUCUCUCUCUCUCUCUCUUUUUUCUUUUUGUGGGGAGGGCAAUUAAUGAGUACACUACUAUCCAAGACAUAUACCACUUUAUUUCCUCAAAUGUUGACUCCCAUUCAGGACUUGCCAGCUUCUGGUUGUUCUCUAUUCCUCCAGAUAACUGUUAUAUGUCUCUCUCUCUCUCUCUGUGUGUGUGUGUGUGUGUGUGUUAGGAGUAUGGUAGUAGUUCUACAAAAGAACAACUACAAAGGAAAACUCAUAGCUGUUAUCUCAAACGAGGUGAAUAGGCUCUGAUGGGAGCCUUUCAGCCAUUAGUAUAAACAAAAACGGUUUCAAUGUAUCCUCAAUAAAAAAAUCCUCUCUCUUCUUUCUUA